GAUGAACGCUGGCGGCGUGCCUAAUACAUGCAAGUCGAGCGAAUGGAUUAAGAGCUUGCUCUUAUGAAGUUAGCGGCGGACGGGUGAGUAACACGUGGGUAACCUGCCCAUAAGACUGGGAUAACUCCGGGAAACCGGGGCUAAUACCGGAUAACAUUUUGAACCGCAUGGUUCGAAAUUGAAAGGCGGCUUCGGCUGUCACUUAUGGAUGGAACCGCGUCGCAUUAGCUAGUUGGUGAGGUAACGGCUCACCAAGGCAACGAUGCGUAGCGGACCUGAGAGGGUGAUCGGCCACACUGGGACUGAGACACGUCCCAGACUCCUACGGGAGGCAGCAGUAGGGAAUCUUCCGCAAUGGACGAAAGGCUGACGGAGCAACGCCGCGUGAGUGAUGAAGGCUUUCUGGUCGUAAAACUCUGUUGUUAGGGAAGAACAAGUGCUAGUUGAAUAAGCUGGCACCUUGACGGUACCUAACCAGAAAGCCACGGCUAACUACGUGCCAGCCGCCGCGGUAA
rnacentral:rRNA from 1 species